AGACCCUAAUUUCACUCUCUGCUUAGAGGCAAAAAACCACAACAGAGACGGACGAAAACUCUCCCCCAUUUUCUAAAAACCUAGCGUUGCCAAUCUUUUUCUUCACUCCCGGAUAUUGCAGCUACCCCCAUCUCUGAUUUCAGAGCCCUCACUCUAACAACGAAGAACAGAUCUCCCCCUCUCUUAGAAAACCUAUCUUCCCCUUUACAAAAAAAAAGGACUUAGCAGCCACCCCCACCUCUCGGAUUCUCACGCAAUAGGAGGGACCUCACUCUCAUUUGGAUUCAUGGAUACACACACAUAGAUACACAUAGAAAACUGCGAUUUCGAACAAGAUUUGGGAAGUAAUUGAUUGCUGAAUUUUCAAAGUUCUAAUUCCUUUUCCUUGGAUCUAUAAAAGAUUCACUUUCGUCUUAAGCUAGUGUAAGCUGUGAUUUUGCUGUUUCUGCCGUAAUAAGUUGCUCAGCUUCAUCUUCAUUUUUCUGGCCUUUAUUUGAUCCAAAUCGCUUAUCCUUGUCCUUUUUGAGAUGAUCGCGGAACAGGAAUGCAGACCAACUGUUUGAUCAUGUCUAGGCAAGCUUAUAUUUAGGAGCAGUAGUAAAUAGGGAGUAUUGUUAGUAUCCAAGUUGCUCGUGCUUAAUAUUGAAAUGAGUGGCAAUGUUACAUUUGUAUAUACAGAUCCUUCCUUAUAUAUCCACUAUGUGAUAUGAUUGAGUGUCCUCAAGUUUCUCUGAAAUUGAAAUGUAUCCUUGAAUGCGUUGAUUCGCUUUGUUAUACCUGUGCUUGUUCACAUUGCUGUAGAUUAAUAUAGAAAAUAUGGAUAAAUGGGAUGAUUUAUUAGUGAAUAUGAGGUUGGUGUUAUCUUGUGCAA